rnacentral:rRNA from 1 species
ACGCUGGCGGCGUGCCUAAUACAUGCAAGUCGAGCGAACGGACGAGAAGCUUGCUUCUCUGAUGUUAGCGGCGGACGGGUGAGUAACACGUGGAUAACCUACCUAUAAGACUGGGAUAACUUCGGGAAACCGGAGCCAAUACCGGAUAAUAUUUUGAACCGCAUGGUUCAAAAGUGAAAGACGGUCUUGCUGUCGCUUAUAGAUGGAUCCGCGCUGCAUUAGCUAGUUGGUAAGGUAACGGCUUACCAAGGCAACGAUGCAUAGCCGACCUGAGAGGGUGAUCGGCCACACUGGAACUGAGACACGGUCCAGACUCCUACGGGAGGCAGCAGUAGGGAAUCUUCCGCAAUGGGCGAAAGCCUGACGGAGCAACGCCGCGUGAGUGAUGAAGGUCUUCGGAUCGUAAAACUCUGUUAUUAGGGAAGAACAUAUGUGUAAGUAACUGUGCACAUCUUGACGGUACCUAAUCAGAAAGCCACGGCUAACUACGUGCCAGCAGCCGCGGUAAUACGUAGGUGGCAAGCGUUAUCCGGAAUUAUUGGGCGUAAAGCGCGCGUAGGCGGUUUUUUAAGUCUGAUGUGAAAGCCCACGGCUCAACCGUGGAGGGUCAUUGGAAACUGGAAAACUUGAGUGCAGAAGAGGAAAGUGGAAUUCCAUGUGUAGCGGUGAAAUGCGCAGAGAUAUGGAGGAACACCAGUGGCGAAGGCGACUUUCUGGUCUGUAACUGACGCUGAUGUGCGAAAGCGUGGGGAUCAAACAGGAUUAGAUACCCUGGUAGUCCACGCCGUAAACGAUGAGUGCUAAGUGUUAGGGGGUUUCCGCCCCUUAGUGCUGCAGCUAACGCAUUAAGCACUCCGCCUGGGGAGUACGACCGCAAGGUUGAAACUCAAAGGAAUUGACGGGGACCCGCACAAGCGGUGGAGCAUGUGGUUUAAUUCGAAGCAACGCGAAGAACCUUACCAAAUCUUGACAUCCUUUGACAACUCUAGAGAUAGAGCCUUCCCCUUCGGGGGACAAAGUGACAGGUGGUGCAUGGUUGUCGUCAGCUCGUGUCGUGAGAUGUUGGGUUAAGUCCCGCAACGAGCGCAACCCUUAAGCUUAGUUGCCAUCAUUAAGUUGGGCACUCUAAGUUGACUGCCGGUGACAAACCGGAGGAAGGUGGGGAUGACGUCAAAUCAUCAUGCCCCUUAUGAUUUGGGCUACACACGUGCUACAAUGGACAAUACAAAGGGCAGCGAAACCGCGAGGUCAAGCAAAUCCCAUAAAGUUGUUCUCAGUUCGGAUUGUAGUCUGCAACUCGACUACAUGAAGCUGGAAUCGCUAGUAAUCGUAGAUCAGCAUGCUACGGUGAAUACGUUCCCGGGUCU